CGUCUAGGCGGGGAAUUAAGUUGGGUGUGAAAGCCUUGGGCUCAACUCGAGAAUUGCACCCAAAACUGAUUCUCUUGAGUUCGGGAGAGGAGAGCGGAAUUCCCGGUGUAGCGGUGAAAUGCGUAGAUAUCGGGAAGAACACCAGUGGCGAAGGCGGCUCUCUGGCCUAGAACUGACGCUGAAGCGCGAAAGCGUGGGGAGCGAACG
rnacentral:rRNA from 1 species